rnacentral:rRNA from 1 species
AGAAUCAACGCUGGCGGCGUGCCUAACACAUGCAAGUCGCACGAGAAAGGGGAGCAAUCCCUGAGUACAGUGGCGCACGGGUGAGUAACACGUGAAUUAUCUACCUCCGAGUGGGGAAUAACUGAGAGAAAUCUUAGCUAAUACCGCAUAACACUUACGAGUCAAAGCAGCAAUGCGCUUGGAGAGGAGUUCGCGGCCGAUUAGUUAGUUGGCGGGGUAAUGGCCCACCAAGGCGAUGAGCGGUA